rnacentral:rRNA from 1 species
AUGCCGCCGCCGCAGUCAAGCUGGUUCCUCGGCAUUCGGUCGUUACGCUGGUUCAGGUCAUCAUCCUCCGCCACUUGCAACGCGCACGGCAAUGCGAAGGAACAAGCAGAGGGCGGAGAAGUGCCGGCACACGACGGCGACCUUGGCAGGCACGGGCACCGCGCGGGGAAGGUUCAAGCGAGACGGCGGCCGGCGGCGGAUUACAUCGAGAGGGUGCAGGUGGACGUCACCCCCAAUAUGCGCGGCAUCCUCGUCGACUGGCUCGUCGAGGUCGCCGAGGAGUACAAGCUCGUCUCCGACACGCUCUACCUCACUGUCUCCUACAUCGACCGCUUCCUCUCGUCCAACUCCCUCAACCGUCAGAAGCUGCAGCUCCUCGGCGUCUCUGCCAUGCUCAUUGCCUCUAAGUACGAGGAGAUCAGCCCCCCAAAUGUGGAGGACUUCUGCUACAUCACCGACAACACCUACAUGAAGCAGGAGGUGUGUGUUCUUCUCUUGCUUGCUUGGUUCAUUUCUAUUAAGAUGGAGAGGGAUGUACUAAACAAUCUCAAGUUUGAGAUGGGCAAUCCUACCUCUAAGACCUUCCUAAGGAUGUUCAUCAAAUCUGGCCAAGAAGAGAAGGUAAUGGUCCACUAG